AGAGUUUGAUCCUGGCUCAGAGCGAACGCUGGCGGCAGGCUUAACACAUGCAAGUCGAACGGGCGUAGCAAUACGUCAGUGGCAGACGGGUGAGUAACGCGUGGGAACGUACCUUUUGGUUCGGAACAACUGAGGGAAACUUCAGCUAAUACCGGAUAAGCCCUUACGGGGAAAGAUUUAUCGCCGAAAGAUCGGCCCGCGUCUGAUUAGCUAGUUGGUGAGGUAACGGCUCACCAAGGCGACGAUCAGUAGCUGGUCUGAGAGGAUGAUCAGCCUCACUGGGACUGAGACACGGCCCAGACUCCUACGGGAGGCAGCAGUGGGGAAUAUUGGACAAUGGGCGCAAGCCUGAUCCAGCCAUGCCGCGUGGGUGAUGAAGGCCCUAGGGUUGUAAAGCCCUUUCGGCGGGGAAGAUAAUGACGGUACCCGCAGAAGAAGCCCCGGCUAACUUCGUGCCAGCAGCCGCGGUAAUACGAAGGGGGCUAGCGUUGCUCGGAAUCACUGGGCGUAAAGCGCACGUAGGCGGAUUGCUAAGUCAGGGGUGAAAUCCUGGAGCUCAACUCCAGAACUGCCUUUGAUACUGGCGACCUUGAGUCCGGG
rnacentral:rRNA from 1 species